AUUGAACGCUGGCGGCAGGCCUAACACAUGCAAGUCGAGCGGAGCGGCGGACGGGCGAGUAAUUGCUGGGAAACUGCCUGAUGGAGGGGGAUAACGUCCGGAAACGGGCGAUAAUACCGCACACGAUCAGAUGAGCCUAGGUCGGGUUAGCUAGUGGGUGGGGUAAAGGCCUACCAAGGUGACGAUCCGGCACUGGUCUGGGAGGAUGAUCAGUCAAACUGGAACUGAGACACGGUCCAGACUCCUACGGGAGGCGGCAGUGGGGAAUAUUGGACAAUGGGCGAAAGCCUGAUCCAGCCAUGCCGCGUGUGUGAAGAAGGUCUUCGGAUUGUAAAGCACUUUAAGUUGGGAGGCGUUACCAACAGAAUAAGCACCGGCUAACUUCGUGCCAGCAGCCGCGGUAAUUC
rnacentral:rRNA from 1 species